GUUGUCCAAUCUGCAGCAACUCGACCAUCCCUCUUCAUCUCCUCAAUUACUCUUUCAACACCAGAAAUAUCGUUGACAACUGCCAGAGCCCUCAUCCAGACAUUGUAUGUGUAUAAGAAUCUGGCAUGAUAUUGUUGGCCUUCAUUUCUUGAAUGACUGCUGGGACCCUUUCAGGCUGACCAACCUUUGUGUAUAGGGUCAUUAGGCUGUUGUAUGACAUGGAGGUUAAACCAAGAUUGAGCUCCUUCAUCUUUUCCAUGAGAGCUUCAGCUUCUUCAGUCAUCAAUUCUUUGCAAUAACAGUUAAGAAGGGCCCCAUAUGUUAGAUGGUUCUUCAAUGUUUCAGGAAGAUCUAUGAAGUAAUUUUCUGCAGCAGUAAUGCCUCUAGUUUUGGCAACUAGAUCAAGAUGAAUAGCCUGAUCACUGACUGUCUUAUUCAUGCCCCUCUUAGACAUAGCUUCUGAUAGCUUGAGAGCAGGGUAAUAAAGCUUGCGAUCGCGUAGCUUCUUGAGAGUGUCGCCAA
rnacentral:misc_RNA from 1 species